CACGUAGGGUGCGAGCGUUGUCCGGAAUUACUGGGCGUAAAGAGCUCGUAGGUGGUUUGUCGCGUUGUUCGUGAAAACUCACAGCUCAACUGUGGGCGUGCGGGCGAUACGGGCAGACUGGAGUACUGCAGGGGAGACUGGAAUUCCUGGUGUAGCGGUGGAAUGCGCAGAUAUCAGGAGGAACACCGGUGGCGAAGGCGGGUCUCUGGGCAGUAACUGACGCUGAGGAGCGAAAGCGUGGGGAGCGAACAGG
rnacentral:rRNA from 1 species